rnacentral:lncRNA from 1 species
CUAAGUAUUUUAAUAUUUUGUCUAAUUUAUGCUAAUAAAAUAAAAUAAUUAUUGUUUUUUUUAUGAAACUACAGAUGCACCAAGAAUGAGCAAAAUAUCAAAGAAACAAGGCAACUAUCAUCAAAAAGUGGCGCUAGCCACCUUGUGUAAGGCGUUGGCCUUGAAAAGGCACAAGCCACACAACACAAGGCGCUGGCCUUGACUCAUAAGGUGCUGGCCGUGACUCAUAAGGUGCUGGCCUUGAGUUAUAAGGUGCUGGCCAUGAGUCACAAGGCGCCAGCUUGGCACAUUUACACUAAGCAAGUGGCGCCAGCCACUAAGCAACAAGGUACCAGUCACAACAAAAAAGGCGCUGGCCGUUCCUAUUUUUU